UUGAAAUGCAGGUCACCUCGCCACCUCCCAACAGUGAGAAAGACCCUGGGCUUCUCUGGGUGCCUCCGGUCAUGAGCUGAGGGGUCUGCACCAGGCCUCCCUGGCCCCUGGGGCAUGGCCUGCACUGCUGGAGGGGAAGCAGAGGGCUGCAGGCCCACAGGUGAGGUGGCCGGGCUGGGCCCAGUGCUUCCACCCUCUGACGCAGCAACGGGAGGAUUCCCAUGGCUACUACCUACUCUCAAAGCGCUUCUGUGCCGAGGACCUGAGGGCAGGGACCGCCUCCGCCUCAUCACUGGGUGCUCCUCCCGGGGUCACCUUCUGGCCCGGGAGAGUCCGGAGUGAAGCUACAGCCGAAGGUGAGGCUGAUUUUUCCUUUUACAGCUCAAAUGAACAGU
rnacentral:lncRNA from 1 species